CAUUCUUUCAUCUCUGUUUGGUUGAGUUGUUCCUUAUCCUUGUUCCAGACUAGAGUUGAGGCCCAGAGGGACUUGAGGUUCAUUGCCAGUUCUUGGGAGGUGAAGCUGUUUCACUAUAUGGGGAAUGUUCUAUCUGGAAGAGGGGGUCAGGAGAAGGCUAAUAGGGGGAGGAUCCUCAAGGUGCAGGGACUCUGACGCCAAUGCCUUGCUCGCAGGUUGCCCUGGAGGCCCCUGGCCAGGCCUGAACCUCUGCCACCAUGGCCAUUGUGCACACUCUGCCAGUGCCACUGGAGCCCGCACGUGAGACAGCCACUGCCCCACAAACUCCAGCAAUGGGCAGCGUGAGCAGUCUUAUCUCAGGCCGGCCCUGUCCUGGGGGACCUGCUCCUCAACGCCACCAUGGUGUCCCUGGGCCUACCUUCUUCCGCCAGCAGGAUGGGCUGCUCCGGGGUGGCUAUGAGGCCCAGGAACCACUCUGCCCAGCUGUGCCACCCAGGAAGACUGU
rnacentral:lncRNA from 1 species